rnacentral:rRNA from 1 species
AAUCUUGCGCAAUGGGCGAAAGCCUGACGCAGCGACGCCGCGUGAGUGAAGAAGGCCUCCGGUUUGUAAAACUCUGUCCUCAGGGAAGAAGCAAGUGACGGUACCUGAGGAGGAAGCCCCGGCUAACUACGUGCCAGCAGCCGCGGUAAUACGUAGGGGGCGCGCGUUGUCCGGAAUCAUUGGGCGUAAAGGGUGCGUAGGCGGCCUUUUAAGUCAGGUGUGAAAGACCACAGCUUAACUGUGGGGUUGCAUUUGAAACUGGAGGGCUUGAGUAUCGGAGAGGGUAGUGGAAUUCCCAGUGUAGCGGUGGAAUGCGUAGAUAUUGGGAGGAACACCAGUGGCGAAGGCGACUACCUGGACGAAAACUGGCGCUGAGGCACGAAAGCUAGGGGAGCAAAC